GACGAACGCUGGCGGCGUGGAUUAGGCAUGCAAGUCGAACGGUAUGGACCUUUCGGGGUUCAGAGAGUGGCGAACGGGUGAGUAACACGUAGGUAAUCUACCCUCAAGACGGGGACAACCCAGGGAAACUUGGGCUAAUACCGGAUGUGUGUAGUGGCUAUUUUUCUGAUUAUCAUUAUUUACGUAAGUGAGUAAUAAUAAGAAGGGAAAGUGGUUAUUACAUAAAAGGUGGCGUAAGCUGCCGCUUGGGGAUGAGCCUGCGUCCUAUUAGUUAGUUGGUGAGGUAACGGCUUACCAAGGCGAUGAUAGGUAGGCGGCCUUAACGGGUGGUCGCCCACACUGGGAUUGAGAUACGGCCCAGACUCCUACGGGAGGCAGCAGUCGAGAAUAGUCUACAAUGGACGGAAGUCUGAUAGUGCGACGCCGCGUGAACGAAGAAUCCCUUCGGGGUGUAAAGUUCUUUUAUACGUGAGCAGCGUCCUUUAUAUUAAUAGUAUAAGGGGAGAGAUAUUAGCGUAUGAAUAAGCAACGG
rnacentral:rRNA from 1 species